CUGAAAGCAUCUAAGCACGAAACUUGCCCCGAGAUGAGUUCUCCCUGAGACUUUAAGUCUCCUGAAGGAACGUUGAAGACGACGACGUUGAUAGGCCGGGUGUGUAAGCGCAGCGAUGCGUUGAGCUAACCGGUACUAAUGAACCGUGAGGCUUAACCUU
rnacentral:rRNA from 1 species